rnacentral:lncRNA from 1 species
GGUUCGCUAUUUACUUGACCCAGAGAACCCCACAAAAUCAUGCAAAUCAAGAGGUUCAAAUCUUCAUGUUCACUUGGAGAACACUCAUGAAACUGCCCAGGCCAUCAAGGGUAUGUAUAUAUGAAAAUCCACGAAGUAUCUGAAAGAUGUCACUUUACAGAAACUGUGUGUACCAUUCCAACAUUACAAUGGUGGAGUUGGCAGGUGUGCCCAGGCCAAGCAGUGGGGCUGGACACAAAGUCAGUGGCCCAGAAAAAGUGCUGAAUUUUUGCUGUACAUGCUUAAAAAUGCAGAGAGUAAAAUGCAGAGAGUAAUGCUGAACUUAAGGGUUAUAUGUAGAUUCUCUGGUCAUUGAGCAUAUCCAAGUGAACAAAGUACCUAAGAUGCGUCGCCAGACCUACGGAACUCCGGUCGGAUUAACCCAUGAAUGAGUUCUCCCUGCCACACUGAGAUGAUUCUUACUGAAAAGGAACAGAUUUUUCCUAAGCCAGAGGAGGAGGUUGCCCAAAAGAAAAAGAUAUCCCAAGAAAAAAAAAAAGAAAGAAAAAGAUAUCCCAGAAGAAACUGAAGAAACAAAAACUUAUGGCAUGGGAG